rnacentral:rRNA from 3 species
AGAAGUAGGUAGCUUAACCGCAAGGAGGGCGCUUACCACGGUAGGAUUCGUGACUGGGGUGAAGUCGUAACAAGGUAGCCGUAUCGGAAGGUGCGGCUGGAUCACCUCCUUUCUAGA